rnacentral:lncRNA from 1 species
AGACAUUCGUUGCCUGGCCCAGAGAGCUCAUUCGAUCUAUGCCCGAACCUCAUGUAAUAAUUUCGUUUCAUUAUAUUAUUUUUUAUUUAUAUUUAUAUAUUACAUAUAAUUUAAUACAAAUGUUGUUUAUCUUGUAGGAACCUUUUCAGCCACCAACUCCGAAAAAGAAUCGUGAGGUUCCAGUUGACGAUCCUAUGGCUUCCCUACGUCUCAUUGCUAGUCAGAUUGGCAAUGAUCCUUUUCCAGUUCCGUGGGAUAAUACAUUUUUUCAAAUCAACACUGAACUGCCACUGAUGAUUUACAACACAGAUUUAUCAGAAUUUAUAUCUGGGAA